rnacentral:rRNA from 1 species
ACGCACGCUGGCGGCGUGCUUCACACAUGCCAGUCGAACGGAAAGGCCCUGCUUUUGUGGGGUGCUCGAGUGGCGAACGGGUAAGUAACACGUGAGUAACCUGCCCUUGACUUUGGGAUAACUUCAGGAAACUGGGGCUAAUACCGGAUAGGAGCUCCUGCUGCAUGGUGGGGGUUGGAAAGUUUCGGCGGUUGGGGAUGGACUCGCGGCUUAUCAGCUUGUUGGUGGGGUAGUGGCUUACCAAGGCUUUGACGGGUAGCCGGCCUGAGAGGGUGACCGGCCACAUUGGGACUGAGAUACGGCCCAGACUCCUACGGGAGGCAGCAGUGGGGAAUAUUGCACAAUGGGCGGAAGCCUGAUGCAGCAACGCCGCGUGCGGGAUGACGGCCUUCGGGUUGUAAACCGCUUUCGCCUGUGACGAAGCGUGAGUGACGGUAAUGGGUAAAGAAGCACCGGCUAACUACGUG